AGGCUGACCGACCCAGUAUGCGCUUUUCAUCAUCUCUACAACCCUAUGUCUACCUACCUUUGUUGCUUUGGCGGGCCUUGAGUAGGCUAUACGGCUCAUUCCAGCCCCAGGUUUUGCUGCCUGGGGGUGGCUCGCGUCCGCCAGAGGUAUAUCCAAACUCUAUUAUUACAGCGAUGUCUGAGUCAUAUUAAAAAUAAUCAAAACUUUCAACAACGGAUCUCUUGGUUCUGGCAUCGAUGAAGAACGCAGCGAAAUGCGAUAAGUAAUGUGAAUUGCAGAAUUCAGUGAAUCAUCGAAUCUUUGAACGCACAUUGCGCCCCUCGGUAUUCCGGGGGGCAUGCCUGUUCGAGCGUCAUUACACCUCUCAAGCAUAGCUUGGUAUUGGGCUUGUCGCAGUCUUCCUUCCGGGGGAGACGGUGUGCCUGAAAAUCAGUGGCGGUCCUCUGGGGAUUUCGCGCGUAGUAAAAUCAUUAUCCCGCGUUGGAAAUAACCGAUGGAUUUGUUCAAAAACCCCCUAAUAAAUUCCACAAUUGACCUCGGAUCAGGUANGGAUACCCGCUGAACUUAA
rnacentral:rRNA from 1 species